rnacentral:tRNA from 1 species
GCCUCCUUAGCUCACCUGGCUAGAGCACUCGUCUUGUAAACGAGAGGUAAUCGGUUCGAGACCGAUAGGAGGCUC